CCUACGGGUGGCUGCAGUGGGGAAUAUUGGACAAUGGGGGGAACCCUGAUCCAGCCAUGCCGCGUGUGUGAAGAAGGCCCUCGGGUUGUAAAGCACUUUCAGUGAGGAAGAACGCCUGGUGGUUAAUACCCAUCAGGAAAGACAUCACUCACAGAAGAAGCACCGGCUAACUCCGUGCCAGCAGCCGCGGUAAUACGGAGGGUGCGAGCGUUAAUCGGAAUUACUGGGCGUAAAGCGCGCGUAGGUGGCUUGAUAAGCCGGUUGUGAAAGCCCCGGGCUCAACCUGGGAACGGCAUCCGGAACUGUCAAGCUAGAGUGCAGGAGAGGAAGGUAGAAUUCCCGGUGUAGCGGUGAAAUGCGUAGAGAUCGGGAGGAAUACCAGUGGCGAAGGCGGCCUUCUGGACUGACACUGACACUGAGGUGCGAUAGCGUGGGUAGCAAACAGGAUUAGAUACCCUGGUAGUC
rnacentral:rRNA from 1 species